CAAAAGCCCUAAACCCUAAUUCUAUCUUAUCCUUCACCUAUCAUCCUCUGCUGUCACAUCGCCCUUCUUCUUCUCUCUUCCUCUGCUCUCGAUUCCACCACCUCCACUUUUGCCUCGCCUUCCACCUCGAUUCUGCCGCCCCUCACCCUUGUCGUCUCCGUCUACAAUGGCCGCAAGUGGCUCACCUGAGGCUUCUGCGCCGCCAAGCUAAUGGGUCGUAUCCUCUUCACUGUUCACCUCAACAACGCCCUAUGUCGCCCCAACACCAUCAACAUCGGGUUGCUCAUGCUUGCUAGGAUCCGCGGUUCGUGUUCCAGUUCAUUGACCAAUCAGAGUGCAGCUCUAUGGUUUCCCAGAUUAAGGGGAAUAUCAGACAACCCGUUUGCAAGUCGAGUUCGGUUCUAGACGAACCUACAGAUCCCCGUGGUUCAAAACUGCAACUAUUGGUGCAGCUUGCUUCAAAUCUCUGGCAUUAAGGUCUAGAUCAUUUUCUGUCAUUGCUAUGUCUCUGUCUUGGGUCAUUUGCAAAGUUGAGUUAACAGAACUUGUGCACUCAUCUUUCAUGGUUCAUGAUCAUCAAAGCAAUGAUGGCUGCCCAUGAUAUCCUGCUGGAGGACCUGAGAAGAAUUAGGAAAGGAAUUAACCAAGCUACUGGUGAUUUUGACUGGAAUUACUUUUAAACCAGUUGUAACCAAAUCAUUCAAUGAUACUUCACCAGCACAUGCGGAAAUUACUGAUGAUGAAGCACCACUUCAACUGUCUAACAGCGUGCAAAUCAGUGCUGAGAUAUGGAGCUUUACCAUGAAGUCUGUGUGCUGUAAACAUAAGGCAACAGGGGAGCAUGCUAUGAGACGAUGUGAGUUCUUCCAUGUGUAGAAUUUGCUCCUUUAAUUGCCAAAUCUUUGGGUAGGAGAUAAGCUUGUAAUGUGAACCUAUGUAGUUCCUUCAUAAGUUUCUUUUGGUAUUUUGGCUAACUGAUUGUGUCUAUCUAUUCAUCAUAAUUUUGAACACAAAAUGUGGCAUAUUGUGGAUCCACCUCAUCAAUUUUUCUUAGAUAUAUAAUUAUAUAUCGGUGUUUGAGAUAAAUUAAAGCAAAUAAGUGGACUGAUGUUUGCCCAAGGAAAGGAUUUGUUGUCAUAUUUGCAUUUUGGUAUCAGUUUAUACUGCACAUUGAUUGGACUGACCCGAAUAA